GAUGAACGCUAGCGGCAGGCUUAACACAUGCAAGUCGAGGGGUAGAAGGAGCUUGCUCCUUUGAGACCGGCGCACGGGUGCGUAACGCGUAUGCAAUCUACCUUUUGCAGAGGGAUAGCCCAGAGAAAUUUGGAUUAAUACCUCAUAGUAUGUGAGGAUGACAUCAUUUUCACAUUAAAGUCACAACGGCAAAAGAUGAGCAUGCGUCCCAUUAGCUAGUUGGUAAGGUAACGGCUUACCAAGGCUACGAUGGGUAGGGGUCCUGAGAGGGAGAUCCCCCCANACUGGUACUGAGACACGGACCAGACUCCUACGGGAGGCAGCAGUGAGGAAUAUUGGACAAUGGGCGCAAGCCUGAUCCAGCCAUGCCGCGUGCAGGAUGACGGUCCUAUGGAUUGUAAACUGCUUUUGUACAGGAGAAACACUACUUCGUGAAGUAGCUUGACGGUACUGUAAGAAU
rnacentral:rRNA from 1 species